rnacentral:lncRNA from 1 species
UGGUUUUGGCCACCACCACCACCAUUUGGAUAAACGCAGAUGAAGAGCUGCGAAACAUCAUCAGGAAGGCUAAUGUCGCCGAAUUCCCGCGAUCGUCUGCCAGGAAGUGGAAACACCAACGCCCUCACUUCAGACCCCUGGGAUUGGCAGCUACGAAUCCAUGCAUAAUAAAAUCCUCAAAACGAAACACUAA